AGGUGGCAGCCUCAAGUGGGCAGCAUCCCCAUUGAAAGCAAUACUUAGCAUACUCAAAGAUGCAGCAGCAGGUGCUGCUCUCAGGACAUGCGUAGUAGUUAUCACAGACAGUUGGGGGCUUUAUUGGAGAGGGAGGAGACGGGCCAGGGUUGGGCGGGUUUUGGCCUUUUUUGAUAGGGUAAGAGGCUUCCAUAGCAAUUCCACACUUCCCUGUCGCACUAGUAGCAAGAUCACGCUCCAUCCUGAUAUAUCCUUCCUCUCCCCAGCUGGCACCCCAUGAGUUCUUUACAAUCCAGUAAUCCACACCAUUUUCUGUGCCAUAUCCAACAGCAGUAACACCAUGGUCCAGUGCUGUCCCAC
rnacentral:lncRNA from 1 species